rnacentral:rRNA from 1 species
UCGAGAAUCAUUCGCAAUGGGCGCAAGCCUGACGAUGCGACGCCGUGUGAGCGAAGAAGGCCUUCGGGUUGUAAAGCUCUUUCGCCUGGGAACAAGAGAAGCCGGAUAACACCCGGCUGAUUUGAGGGUACUAGGUAAAGAAGCACCGGCUAACUCCGUGCCAGCAGCUGCGGUAAUACGGAGGGUGCAAGCAUUAAUCGGAUUUAUUGGGCGUAAAGGGCGCGUAGGCGGCCUUGCAAGUCAGAUGUGAAAUUCCGGGGCUCAACCCCGGAGCUGCAUUUGAAACUACAAGACUAGAGGGUAGGCGGAGAAAACGGAAUUCCACAAGUAGCGGUGAAAUGCGUAGAUAUGUGGAAGAACACCGGUGGCGAAGGCGGUUUUCUAGCUUAAACCUGACGCUAAAGCGCGAAAGCAAGGGGAUCAAACAGGAUUAGAUACCCCUGUAGUCC